AGCGAACGCUGGCGGCGGGCCUAACACAUGCAAGUCGAACGGAUCCUUCGGGAUUAGUGGCGGACGGGUGAGUAACACGUGGGAACGUGCCCUUUGGUUCGGAACAACUCAGGGAAACUUGAGCUAAUACCGGGUGUGCCCUUCGGGGGAAAGAUUUAUCGCCAUUGGAGCGGCCCGCGUCUGAUUAGCUAGUUGGUGAGGUAAAGGCUCACCAAGGCGACGAUCAGUAGCUGGUCUGAGAGGAUGAUCAGCCACAUUGGGACUGAGACACGGCCCAAACUCCUACGGGAGGCAGCAGUGGGGAAUCUUGCGCAAUGGGCGAAAGCCUGACGCAGCCAUGCCGCGUGAAUGAUGAAGGUCUUAGGAUUGUAAAAUUCUUUCACCGGGGACGAUAAUGACGGUACCCGGAGAAGAAGCCCCGGCUAACUUCGUGCCAGCCGCCGCUGUAACAC
rnacentral:rRNA from 1 species